GAUCUCAACUCAUACGUGACUACCCCCUGAAUUUAAGCAUAUUAAUAGGCGGAGGAAAAGAAACUAACCAGG
rnacentral:rRNA from 1 species